CUCAAGGUUUAGGUCGUCCUCCUAUUGGAAAUACAUGUUGACCACGAAUGCUUCCGCAUACCCAACUGGACUUGCACCAGUCACUGCCACAAAAAGAUCAAGCUCUCGACGAGUGCUUCAACCUGGUGCCAGAUGAAUGCAUGGCGAUUGAAAACCACUGGGAGAAUCGGAAUUUCCAGCUUGAUUCCCUUCACGUCCAUGCAAUCAUAAAGCCCAUUUGUGCGGUAUCUUGCCAUGAAUAACUAUGAUAGCUUCAUGUGGACGGUUGACACUCCACCCAGUAUGUUACAAGGCUAAAGGAUCUUGUUUGGUUGGGGAGAAAGUGUAGGGAAAUGGAAGGAACCAAAAUCUUUGAACACUGCAUGGUCUCAAAUUUUGGGGUUCUUCAAGAAUAAGAUAACUUGUCUGGUUCUGUUUUUUCUUGGUUUUGUAUGGAACCAAAUAGAGGAGUGAGAAAAUUGCUGUUCUCAGUAA